UACGUAGGGUGCGAGCGUUAAUCGGAAUUACUGGGCGUAAAGGGUGCGCAGGCGGUUUUGUAAGCCAGAUGUGAAAUCCCCGGGCUCAACCUGGGAAUGGCGAUGGAUACUGGCGAGCUAGAGUGUGUCAGAGGAUGGCAGAAUUCCUGGUGUAGUGGUGAAAUACGUAGAUAUCAGGAGGAACUCCGGUGGCGAAGGCGGCCACCUGGCCCAUUACUGACACUCAGACCCGAAAGCGUGGGUAGCAAGCAGG
rnacentral:rRNA from 1 species